CAGAAAUUGUCAGCGAGUUUUUCUUGUCAAAUUAAUUUAACACCAGCAUUGCUCUCAUCUAUAUUUUUUGCUGCGUAAAUCUCUAUUAUAAUUACCCGCGUUUGCCAGAGAUUCUGUAAUUUGAACUUGUGGAAUGUUUUGCUGCUGAAUAUAAUUUUCAACAAGUGGAAGUUCCAAACUUUCAACCAAUUGACAUGCUUAGAAUAUAUCACGUGUUGUAGUAAUUCGAUCUGUAUGACACAUUGACAACAAGCGCCAAGUUCGAUCUUUUGAGAGCAAGCAUUCAAAGGAGAAGAUUUUUAUUCAAAUUUUCUAUUAUAAAGUUCGAAAGACCUAGUAAAAUACAUGGAAUUUGAAAGGUAUGUCUAUUGUGUAUUUACUCAUUUGUAUGCGGAUAGUUACUUGACAUAAUGUAGUUAUAUUUUUAUUAAAAUCGAAGGCCUGUAUUUUAUAUUAGUCGCUUCGCCGCCGAUUCACUCACAGGCGGCCCAGACGUGUAUUAGUGUAUAGUAUUAAAAUAUAUCAUUAUAGAAUAUACUACACAGUAAAAUUUGUAAUGAAUUUUAUAUUUUAAAAUCAUAUUUACUUGCCUAAUUUGAUUGUAUGUGAUCGUCUUUUAUUUCUGAGCGACUUUACAUUCGAUGCCUGCGACUGUCUUCAUAGGUGAUAGUAUUGAAAGCAAAGGCUAACGAUUCCAGUUCUCAAACAGCCGACACGAACAAUUCAAAUCGAAAAAUAUCCCCUUCAAAUUGCUUUCUUCGCGGUAAAACUUCGCCAGCGUAUAGAAUAAACACCCAUCUUCAACAUACAAAGCAAUAUUAACACAUCCUAUAAUUUUUGCAAUGGAUUUUUAGCGAAAUGUUUCGAGACUAAAAUUCUAUGGAACUUAGAAAGCCCGAUAAUUACUACGGCGCCUGCUUGGCCACCUAGCCUCCUUUACCGUUUGGAUUUUCAGGGGGGGGGAUCGAAUAAAAAAUACCGACUGUUUACAAUAUUUGAAAUCUGAUAUUGUAAUUUAUCAACAACAAAACUCUUUUCGAUCGUAUACAGCAACAACAGCCAGCGAAUCAAUGCCGCGAUAGCGACGGUUUACUAUAUUUGAAUCUGAUAUUGUAAUUUGCAAAAGCUAUCUUUCUAUCUUAUACUAUACGAUCGAUCGAUCGAAAGAGUUUUUGUUGUUGAUAAAUUACAAUAUCAGAUUUCAAAUAUUGUAAACAGUCGGUAUCGCGGCGUUGAUUGGCUGGCUGUUGCCGGAAAUAGGUGUUUUUUAUUCGAUCCCCCCCCUGAAAAUCCAAACGGUAAAGGAGGCUAGGUGGCCAAGCAGGCGCCGUAGUAAUUAUCGGGCUUUCUAAGUUCCAUAGAAUUUUAGUCUCGAAACAUUUCGCUAAAAAUCCAUUGCAAAAAUUAUAGGACGUGUUAAUAUUGCUUUGUAUGUUCGAAGAUGGGUGUUUAUUCUAUACGCUGGCGACGUUUUACCGGGAACAAAGCAAUUUGAAGGGGAUAUUUUUCGAUUUGAAUUGUUCGUGUCGGCUGUUUGAGAACUGGAAUCGUUAGCCUUUGCUUUCAAUACUAUCACCUAUGAAGACAGUCGCAGGCAUCGAAUGUAAAGUCGCUCAGAAAUAAAAGACGAUCACAUACAAUCAAAGUAGGCAAGUAAAUAUGAUUUUAAAAUAUAAAAUUCAUUACAAAUUUUACUGUGUAGUAUAUUCUAUAAUGAUAUAUUUACUAUACACUAAUACACGUCUGGGCCGCCUGUGAUUCACUGAAGGCAUCUGGACGUUCAGUUGUAAAUUUUCAAUUAAUUUCUAUUAGCAGAAGUCUAUAAGUCUAAUCUACAGUCUCCACGUAUAUGUAUUGUUAAGAAAAUCGUAUAGCUUAUUUGUGUGAUAUGCAUUUGUAUGUUGUAAUUUUCUGUUAAAUAUUUGCUAUAAAGAUGCUUGUGAUGUUUAAUACUCUGAGCUAGUGUAUAUCCACACCGGGCAAGCUUGAAAAAUAUGCCUGUCCAUGGUGGGAAUCGAACCUACGAGCUUUGGAAUACUAGCCCAAUGCUCUGCCCACUGAGCUACGUGGUCAGGUCGGUUCGAGUAUGUGAUAUUUUGGAACAGAAUCUAGUUCCUUUGAUACCAAUGUAAUUUAGUAAUCAUGAUAUUUUCUGUGUUGAUGCAAUGUACUCAGGUGAAUAUAUGCUUGUGAUGUUACUCUGAGACUCAGAGUAACAUCACAAGCAUCAUAUUCACCCGAGUACAUUGCAUCAACACAGAAAAUAUCAUGAUGAGUGUAUAUCCACACCGGGCAAGCUUGAAAAAUACGCCUGUCCAGGGUGGGAAUCAAACCUAUGGACAGAUUUAGAACUAGAUUCUGUUCUGAAAUAUCACAUACUCGAACCACAGUCAAGGGAACACAGCAGUCCGAUAUUUGACUUCUUUAUUUAAUAAACUAUAAACAUAAUCGUUCACUUACUUGUUUUUUGGUCUUUCUAUAUGCAUAUUUUUAUGUGAUUCCCCGCUUUAAUAUUCAUAUAUUCAUAUAAAAUACAGCGUGCGAUUCGUUGGCAAAUCAAAGCAAAUUCAAAAUUGUUUUCAAGCGUAUUCCCGCUUUAAUUGGUAUAGCGGGCGCGGCUGUUUUCUUGCCACAGAAAAUAUCAUGAUGAGUGUAUAUCCACACCAGGCAAGCUUGAAAAAUACGCCUCUCUACGGUGGGAAUCAAACCUGUGGACAGAUUUAGAACUAGAUUCUGUUCUGAAAUAUCACAUACUCGAACCACAGUUAAGGACUUUGCUCGAACCGACCUGACCGCAUAGCUCAGUUGGCAGAGCAUUGGGCUAGUAUUCCAAAGGUCAUAGGUUUGAUUCCCACCAUGGACAGGCAUAUUUUUCAAGCAUGCUCGGGGUGGAUAUACACUCAGUGUAACAUCACAAGCAUCAUAUUCACCUGAGUACAUUGCAUCAGCACAGAAAAUAUAAUUUGCUAUAACGUUGACAUGUAUACAGUACUUUUAUAUAUGUGACUUGUUUGAAAUGCAGUCACAUUAAUGGCAUAUAGACAGGAUUGCAAUAGCCCAUCUUGACAUCUCCCAAUAUUACCCAAUGCAUGGCAUGUGCUUCCUAUGCCUAUGGUAACCCUUCUAUCGGUCAGCCUAAAACAUGUGAAAGGGGCUGCUUAUGUAGAGGCGAGCCAGCCCAGGUAACUUGGCUAUAGCUUGCUUUCCCUGGACGAAUGUCUAUUUACAUGUCUUAUGAGCCUCUCUAGAUGGGCUCAUGGGCUACGCUCGCCAAAACAAAUCACCCAGACUGAGUUGUGUAAUAGCAGCACAUUUUCAAAUAAAGUAAAUCAACAUCAUACUUUUGCAAACAGUUUUGAAAUGUAACUGACAAAAACAAUCACAGACUGAUAUCUUUUAAUGUUGAAAUUGAUUGGGAAAUGUCAUUUUAUUAGAAGAUUGCAUGUAAAAUUUAACUGAUGGACUUGCAUGACAUGCUUGAUUGAACAGUCACACUACAUGCAUAUUUUACAUCUUGUAAAUAUUCUACAUUGAACAGAAUGUUAACCCUUUAUGUGACAUUUUUACUCAUGAAGGAGAGAGGCUGCCAUUCAAUGGGUUAAAGCCUUUUUUUUAAUUAAAUGGAAAUUUUGAACAAUAAAUAUGUAACAUAUACAUACUGUGCCGGGAAUGGAACCUUCUGCCCUGUGAUUCUGAACAGCUCUUUAACAGCCGAGAGACACUCGAGCCCUGAGAGUCCAAGCCCCAAGAGUCCAUCAAGCUAAUUAGAGUUCAUGUAUAUAUGAAUUGUAAAUGUUCACAGUAAAAUUUUAAGCAGAACAGCAUGAAGCUUUUUAUUUAGGUUUGGAGAAUACAUUUUUGCAGUGUGUAUGUAUGUAUGCAUGUGUAAAUAUUUAUCUCCUUUUGAUUUUUGUAGAGUUGGAAAACCGCUGUAUUCUUGCAGCAUUUGCCUUUGAAAAGGCAGCAAGCAAACAAAUUCCAGGGGAGCUAUUUUUCGAAGUUGUGAAUGUAAGUCAAUUUUGUAUAUUUUAUAUGCCAUUUAGCUGAUUAGUGAUGUCAGAACUUAUUAACCCUUUAAGCUGCAGAGCUUCUCUAUUGACAAGCAAAAUCGUCUGGCAUUAGACAAGUAGAAAAAAAAUGUAGGGCAUGCUGGAGUGCAUUGCGGCUUAAUGGGUUAACUAUAGACAUUGUCAGAUUUUUUGGUUAAAAACCCAUUAAGCUGCAGAGCUUCCCUAUUGACGAGUAAAAUCGCCUGGCAUUAGACAAGUUAAAGGGAAAGUCAAGUCUUUAAUGUAAACAAACGGUUUGUUUACAUUUUGAACUGCUGUAUUUUUUAAAAUAUGAUGUACUGUCUGAAUAUCUAACACCAUUUUGGUUCGCUAUACUUCUAAAUGAGUAUGAAAUAGAGUUUAUGUUCAGAAAAAUUCAAAAUUUGGGCAAUGUUCACAUUAGAGGUCCUCACAUUGUUAUGAGCAGAACCGAUGCGCAGAACGGACUUGACUUCCCCUUUAAAAAAAACAAGUAGGGCGCGCUGGUUGUUGUGCAGUACAGUUGCAACAUGCAUGCACAUACAUAGGCUACCUGGAUAUAUUUGGUAGUGAUGUUAAGUUUCCUUGCAAGAUCCUUAAUGUUGCAUGCAUAUAGAAUAUAUUCUCAUUUUUUGUUUCCAGAGUGAUUUUGAAAUCCAGCAUACUGAGAGAAUAAAGGCGUGUUCAACACCGCUAUUGGCAACCGGAUCUCUACAAGAGAUAAGUUCACUUACCCUCAUUGCAGAGGGUAUAUGGUAUAGUUGCCAUAUUAAGAGGAAGUACUAUAAUCAGCACUAUUACAUGCUUAUUAGCAGCGUACCGUAAACCUCCGAAUAUAAGCCCCUCCCGAAUAUAAGCCCCUCCCGAAUAUAAGCCCCCCCCGUGUAUAAGCCCACUACAUGUAGUAACGCUCACCUCAUUCCAAAUAUAAGCCCCCCCCCCCGAAUAUAAGCCCACUUGUUUAUCAGUUAUCACCAUUUAUUGUUUAUCACUAUUACCACUUACCACUAUUAAUCACUAUUAUUACUAUGCUAGUAUGCUUAACACUUGUUUAUCACUAUUACUUUACUUGUUUGUCACUAUUACACUAACACAAAAGAUCGUCCGUGUAUAAGCUCCCCCCCGUAUAUAAGCCCCUCCUUGUAUAAGCCCAUCAAAAAUCGCUUACGGAAAAAUAUAAGCCCAGGGCUUACAGUCGGAGGUUUACGGUAUUUUGUUCUUAAUGCUGAAUACCUCAAUGGCCUUGGCAAUGUUCCUCGAGCAUAUUCGGCUGGGAAGGAUUGGUCAAACUCUGCUAAUCGGUGAACUAUAGAACACAAGCUAGAACUAAGAUUAUAUGGCGAUCGAUUGUUGUAACAUAUUAUAAUAAUGAGAGAUUGAGAAUGCACAAACAGGCCGGGGUUGCAUGGUGAUCGCGAUCUAAUUAAUGCUAAGUUAAGUGCUUAGCCAUGAUUUCAUGAUAAUAUAUAAUACUUGAUAAAACCAUGCAACUCUCUAGCCUGUGUGUCAGUAACAGUGUAGUCAACUGGAACACAGGCUAUAGAAACAC
rnacentral:lncRNA from 1 species